rfam:Devosia epidermidihirudinis strain E84 contig7, whole genome shotgun sequence.
GGGGCCUUAGCUCAGCUGGGAGAGCGCCUGCUUUGCAAGCAGGAUGUCGUCGGUUCGAUCCCGUCAGGCUCCA